CCUACGGUGGCUGCAGUGGGGAAUAUUGGACAAUGGGCGAAAGCCUGAUCCAGCCAUGCCGCGUGUGUGAAGAAGGCCUUCGGGUUGUAAAGCACUUUCAGUGGGGAAGAAAGCCUUGGGGCUAAUACCCUCGAGGAAGGACAUCACCCACAGAAGAAGCACCGGCUAACUCCGUGCCAGCAGCCGCGGUAAUACGGAGGGUGCGAGCGUUAAUCGGAAUUACUGGGCGUAAAGCGCGCGUAGGCGGUCUGAUAAGCCGGUUGUGAAAGCCCCGGGCUCAACCUGGGAACGGCAUCCGGAACUGUCAGGCUAGAGUGCAGGAGAGGAAGGUAGAAUUCCCGGUGUAGCGGUGAAAUGCGUAGAGAUCGGGAGGAAUACCAGUGGCGAAGGCGGCCCUCUGGACUGACACUGACGCUGAGGUGCGAAAGCGUGGGUAGCAAACAGGAUUAGAUACCCGGGUAGUC
rnacentral:rRNA from 1 species